AAUGCGUAGAGAUCUGGAGGAAUACCGGUGGCGAAGGCGGCCCCCUGGACGAAGACUGACGCUCAGGUGCGAAAGCGUGGGGAGCAAACAGGAUUAGAUACCCUGGUAGUCCACGCCGUAAACGAUGUCGACUUGGAGGUUGUGCCCUUGAGGCGUGGCUUCCGGAGCUAACGCGUUAAGUCGACCGCCUGGGGAGUACGGCCGCAAGGUUAAAACUCAAAUGAAUUGACGGGGGCCCGCACAAGCGGUGGAGCAUGUGGUUUAAUUCGAUGCAACGCGAAGAACCUUACCUGGUCUUGACAUCCACAGAACUUUCCAGAGAUGGAUUGGUGCCUUCGGGAAC
rnacentral:rRNA from 1 species